AAAAAAGCACGAACCUGCAGCGAGCCCUAUUCAUGCGUCUCCCACGGACUCUGGAACAUCUAGAUCAAAUUUACAAUAUGAUGACCGAAGGUGAAGUUUUUUCAAAAAUUUCGUUUCACCUUGUCCAAGAAUCUAAACCCAUAGACCGAUGUGCGGAAGGCUGCUCGGUAUAACAGAGUACGUCGUAGAAGUAUUCAAACAUGGUCGGAAUUCACGCUAAUAUCGCUAUAAAAUAUUGACGAGAAGAGGCUGCCGUCAGUUAACGUCAACAGGCUGAUUAUAUUCAUAACGUUAUAGCAUUCUACGGCUAUAGGUAAAA
rnacentral:misc_RNA from 1 species